GACGAAGGGGGCUAGCGUUGUUCGGAAUUACUGGGCGUAAAGCGAGUGUAGGUGGUUGUCCAAGUUGGAUGUGAAAGCCUUGAGCUCAACUCAAGAAAUGCAUUCAGGACUGGGCGGCUAGAGGACCGGAGAGGAUAGUGGAAUUCCCAGUGUAGUGGUGAAAUACGUAGAGAUUGGGAAGAACACCAGUGGCGAAGGCGGCUAUCUGGACGGUUUCUGACACUAAGACUCGAAGGCGUGGGGAGCAAACAGG
rnacentral:rRNA from 1 species